rnacentral:lncRNA from 1 species
UAUGGUAAUAUUUCUUUACCUAAUUGGCCUUAUUAUUUCCCUUAGAAGCUUUCAAACUCAGAGAGGCAAGAGCUUCGGUUUUGUGAUAGAUGUCUCCAAUAGGAAAAUAAGAAGCAAAGACGUAAAGACAUAAGGUGUCCAUGGAUGAAUGUGGACCAUGUGGAAGGAAGCCGAAUUC